GUUCCACAUGGGCAGGAACCAUGGCUAUUUUGACUAACCAUUUUAUCUCAGAGCCUAGUUCAGAGCCUGGCAAGAGUUCAAUAAAUACAUGCUUAAAAAUAUUUGAGAAUAAAAAUUAACUUGUUUGGGAAGAGGUAACUGUUAAACUAUGACGCAAAGAAAAGACCACCGACUCCAAUUUAAAUCAAAUUAAAGCAAGCGUAUUAUUCUGACCGGCCGGGACUGUCCCUCUCCUGAAAUCUGUGGGAAUAGAAGACAGUACCCUGGCUCUCUACGAGCGCAGUUUUAUAGCACAAAAAGUUGCAAAAGGGGGGUGUCUUGAGAACUUGCAGAUAACAGGAUUUUGACAAGCAUAAUACAAAGGCAGGUAGUAGGUUGAUGGUCUAAAUGGUUUAGCACUUAGGGAGUAAAUUUAGAUCCCAACAUCAUAAUUU
rnacentral:lncRNA from 1 species